rnacentral:tRNA from 1 species
GGGAUGUAGCUUAGUGGUAGAGCUCUUGCGUAGCAUGUAUGAGGCCCUGGUUUGAUCCCAGUAUUAUCUCU